rnacentral:rRNA from 1 species
CGGGUGAGUAAUGCAUAGGAAUCUACCUUUUUAGUGGGGGAUAACUCGGAGAAAUCCGAGCUAAUACCGCAUAAUCUCUACGGAGGAAAGUGGGGGGAUCUUCGGACCUCAUGCUGAAAGAUGAGCCUAUGUCAGAUUAGCUUGUUGGUGGGGUAAAGGCCUACCAAGGCGACGAUCUGUAGCUGGUUUGAGAGAACGAUCAGCCACACUGGGACUGAGACACGGCCCAG